UAGGGAAUCUUCCACAAUGGACGAAAGUCUGAUGGAGCAACGCCGCGUGAGUGAAGAUGGGUUUCGGCUCGUAAAACUCUGUUGUUAAAGAAGAACAUAUCUGAGAGUAACUGUUCAGGUAUUGACGGUAUUUAACCAGAAAGCCACGGCUAACUACGUGCAAG
rnacentral:rRNA from 1 species